rnacentral:lncRNA from 1 species
AGCCCCAGCCCCAGCCCCUGGUUUGUUUUUUAUUCGCAAAACUUUCUGUGAAUGCAGAGGCACCUAUUUCUCCCAUCCAAGUGCAGCUGUAACAGAGCACAGAAGUUGGUGCCAGCUGCUACUUUAAAUAUUGAGGGCAUUUAAGGUGCACAGUGGAAGCAGUGACCUCAGAGCCGGGCUGUCUCCAAGCUGGUGAUAAAUAAAUGGGGGAGAAGAGAGGCCUCUGACAGGUGAAAGGAGUAGAAGUGUUUCAGUAGCAGAGAUUAUCGUAUUGCCAUCAUCAUGGUGAAUAUUAGUUUAAGAAAAGACAUGGGUGGAUGUUAAAUCCCGUGUGGUGUGUGUGACGGGAAGGAAGACAUUCACAUGGUGUUAAUAUAGACCGCUAUUUGAAGGAGAGGUUGCUGAGUUUCGGCCAGGAAGAAGCUAGAUAAUACCUUUACUGCAUGGUCCAAAUUGACAUCCUAAUCGAGAGGCAGAUGGACUCCUGAUGCCUCUGGAUAUAAUUUCCUAAGAAGGAUACAACAUUUCUCAUGAUGUAUUUAGCUGGGAAAUUCACCUUGAAUCUAGCCACUGGGUAACAUCAGUCAAACUCGAAUCGGUUGGCAGUCUAAAGUAAUGGGCCAAUACUCUGCCAAAUAUAAUGGACAACAAGAGACAUUGGGAGCGAUUUUUAAAGAAGACCAAAACGAGACUACAAGAGCAGGGUGCGGUGGCACACGCCUGAAAUUCCAACAACUCAGGAGGCUGAGGCAGGAGGAUUGCAAGUCCUAGGCCAGCCUCAGCAAUGCAUUGAGACCCUGUCUCAAAACAAAAAGUGAGAGGGCUGGGAUGCAGCUCGGAGGUAGCCGCGAGCUUUCCUAGCAUGCACGAGCUCUGGGUCUGAUUCUUGGUGUGGGGGGAGAAGAAAGGGUGAGAGGGAAGGAGGGGACACUAAAAAGACAUGACAGGUGAAUGCUACGUCUCAUCCUGGAGGGGACCCGUAUUGACAGGGAAAUCCUCAGACACCCGUGGGAAUAACCCAUGAAAGUGGGGCUAGCGAUUGGACGGAAGUAUUGUAUUCAUGUGGAAUUUUCUGAAUUUGAUAUCUUUAUUAUGGAUCUUUAGGGGAUUAUCUGUUUUUAAGAAACUACUACCUAGCAGGGUGCGGUGGCCCACGCCUGUAAUCCCAGCAGCUCAAAGCCAGCCUCAGCAAUGGUGAGGCGCUAAGCUACUCAGUGAGACCCUGUCUCUAAAUAAAACACAAAAUAGGGCUGGGGGGUGUGGCUCAGUGGUCAAGUGCCCCUGAGUUCAAUUCCUGGUACCACCUCCCCCCAAAAUGAAAUCCCUACUGAAGUAUUAAGAUAAAGAGACACAAGAUCUGAAAGGACGUUGAUGCCUGUCACCGUGAUGGACAUACUGCUCUCAGUGGCUGUGCUAUGUGCAUGUCGACAUUACAUGACAACUUGUUAAACUGUGUUAACAGUUCUUGAAAUCUGGUGGACCAGGUGGGGUUUCUUUAGUAAGAACAACUCUUCAGUAAGUUGAAACCACUUCAAGAUGCCCACUUGAAAACCUGACCUACAAGAAUGGUGACAGUGCCAAGGCCGGGCUUUUGCUCAGGGAGCUCUGCCCAUGAGGGACAGGGCACCCUUCCUUCAGCAUCGGGACGGCCUUCCAGGCAGGGUUGAAGAGCGCGGCCACUGCAGCCUCCCCACCUGGAAAGGAGGCUGCAAGGAGGCUGCCGUGUGCACCUUCUAUAGGGGUCUCAGGAGGCUGUGUCCCCUGCAGAGUUUCCAGAAUUCUCCACAGUGCAGAGAGGGUGCAGGAAAUGAUGUAGGAAACUUUCCCCACCCAGUUGGCCAGUGAGCUGGAAGCAAGGGGGUCCCCAGCAGGCCCUCCUGGCCCCGGCUGGGCUGAAACCCUGGGGCAGAGAGAGUCCCCAGGUCGCCUGGGGAACAGCGCCUUGCACUUGCCCACCCGGAGCUGGGAGGGUGCUCUCAACAGCACCCACCGGAGGUAUGGACUGGCGGCUGGCGGGGGGUAGAGGCCGGGGUGGCCUGCUUUCGGUCAAUUCGUGUCCAGCAUUGGCAUGGAUUCUCCUUGGUUUGCUGGGUCUUCUUCUUCACAGGGGAAGUCCUCAAGAAGCUCCUGGGCCCCCACCCAUGUUCUGAGGUGGACGCGAGUCACUAGUCACACCCAGCCCCAAGCCUCUCCUACCUUCUGUAGGCAGACCUCCAGGGAGGUAGCCGCUUGCCCCUAGGGUGGACAGGGGCAGGGGCUCUCUGAGAGUCUGUUCAGGAGGGCUGUGCUCGGAGGGCAGGCUGGGGGCCCUCAGUGGUGACUCAUGGAC